rnacentral:rRNA from 1 species
AUUGAACGCUGGCGGCAUGCCUUACACAUGCAAGUCGAACGGUAACAGGUCUUCGGAUGCUGACGAGUGGCGAACGGGUGAGUAAUACAUCGGAACGUGCCUAGUAGUGGGGGAUAACUACUCGAAAGAGUGGCUAAUACCGCAUGAGAUCUACGGAUGAAAGCAGGGGAUCGCAAGACCUUGUGCUACUAGAGCGGCCGAUGGCAGAUUAGGUAGUUGGUGGGAUAAAAGCUUACCAAGCCGACGAUCUGUAGCUGGGCUGAGAGGACGAUCAGCCACACUGGGACUGAGACCCGGCCCAGACUCCUACGGGAGGCAGCAGUGGGGAAUUUUGGACAAUGGGCGAAAGCCUGAUCCAGCAAUGCCGCGUGCAGGAUGAAGGCCUUCGGGUUGUAAACUGCUUUUGUACGGAACGAAAAGCCCCGGGUUAAUACCCUGGGGUCAUGACGGUACCGUAAGAAUAAGCACCGGCUAACUACGUGCCAGCAGCCGCAGUAA